rnacentral:tRNA from 1 species
GGGGUUGUGGCUCAGCAGUAGAGCACUUGCCUCACAUGUGUGAGGCUCUAGGUUCGAUCCUUACUACCACA